UACGGAGGGUGCAAGCGUUAUCCGGAUUUACUGGGUUUAAAGGGUGCGUAGGUGGAUAAGAAAGUCAGUGGUGAAAUCUCCGGGCUCAACCCCGGAACUGCAUUCGAUACUGCCUGGCUAGAGUACUGGAGAGGAGAUUGGAAUUUACGGUGUAGCAGUGAAAUGCGUAGAUAUCGUAAGGAAGACCAGUGGCGAAGGCGGAUCUCUGGACAGUUACUGACACUGAGGCACG
rnacentral:rRNA from 1 species